rnacentral:lncRNA from 1 species
CAGAUCUAGGAUGUGUUAUUUCAGUGUUCCCUUUAUUUUUUUGAGCAGUGUAUAUAAACCUCUCGGCUAUGGAUUCUAGGGAUCAGUAAGUACAUGGGGAGUUCACAUGCUUUUCUGAUGGAACAAUAGCUGUGUACAUGAUCGCGCCGGAGGGGAGGGCUGCCGUCUUUACGGCUCUUAACCAACCAUGCUAUUCUGUUACAAUUUUUCGCAUUGUUCGCAACUUGUUUUGUACAUAAUGUUGCUGCUACUGUGUCUUAUGACCAAAAAGAGGUUCUGGACAUCAGAACUGCGAUUGUUCACCUCAAACUGGACGAAGAGUUCUUCUUUAAUGAGUCGGACGGGAGGGAUAUACUACUACAGACACCCGACCAGGCCCAGAUCCCCGUGAAUCGCUGGAGAAGAAAACUGAGAUUUUAUGGAAAAAGAUCAGGGUGCCUUGCGAGGAUCAAGCGACAAGUGGCUAAUCUGCCUUUGCCUUCCGUCCUGCUAGCUAAUGUUCAAUCGCUGGAGAAUAAAUCGGACGAGCUGAAAGCGUGUAUAUCCUACCAACAGGACAUUAAAAAAUUGUAUUUGUUAUGUUUCACCGUGUCGUGGCUAAACGAUGACAUUAAGAACAUACAGCUGGCGGGUUAUACACUCCAUCGGCAGGACUGAACAGCAGCCUCUGUGGAUGGGGCAUGUUGACGUGGAGGUGGUAUGACAGGCAAGGCAUCCUAAAGCCAGGAUAGGAAUGGGAGGAUGAGAGGAAGAAAGAAGAAAAUGAGGGUGGGAAGAUGAGUGAGAGAAAACAGAUAAAUAUAUCAAGAAAGUAAGGUAAGCAGAUGAGAGGAAAGCAGGAGAAAUAGGUCGGAGGACAACCAGGUGAAGGGAUGAGAGGAUGGAGGGAUAAGAGAACGAGAGGAAGAUAUGAUGAAAGAGAGAGAAAGAUAAAGCGAGAGACAGGAAGGGAGAGGAUGAUGCCAGGGUGGAGUUCAAUGGAAUCAGGGGGAGUGCCCUCUCCCCCCUCCCUCCUCCCUCCUCCCCCCGUCCCCCAUUCCUGUCAGGUUCCCACUCCGCGCUACCCUCUUCGCCCCUCUCGUGCCGUCUCUAGUUCUCUCCCUAAUGAGAGCUGGCGGGACAAUAGUGCCAUUGUUGGCAGUGUUUGGGAAGCCCGUGCUGAGAACAAUCACUUUUUACCCAAGCAGUGGCACAGCCCAAACCCUUUCCUUCAUUACCGCUGGUGCACUGAUUAAGUCUGCUCCCUCCUCAAGCCGCUUCAAUGGGCCGUUGAGCCAGUCACUAGGAGCCUCCUCUGCCUUCUCUCCUCCUCAACCUCCUCCUCCACCUCCUCUCCUCUUCUCUCCUCCUCCUACUCUCCUUCUCCUCCUCCUCCUCCACCACCUCCUGUCCUCUCUCUCCAUUCCCUCAUUCCCGCCUCUCUCCCGCUAUCAUCACUCUUUCAUCCAUCUCGGUUUGUUUCUCAUUCACUAGUUCUCAUCCUUGUCCCUAUGUCAACAGCAUUCCCUCUCUGAUUUGCACCUUUCAUUAACAGAGACACAAAGGUCCACGUGUAACCACACUGUCAAGAUUAUAGAGGAAGAAGACGAUAGAUUGAGAGAUAGAGGAAGAGAAAGGAGAGGGAGUGAGAGGAGAGGAAGAGAGAGAGAGAGGGAGAGGGAGAGGAAGAGAGAGGAGAGGGAGAGAGAGAGGGAGAGGGAGAGG